rnacentral:rRNA from 1 species
CAGGCUUAACACAUGCAAGUCGAGGGGCAGCAUGGUCUUAUCUUGCUAAGGCCGAUGGCGACCGGCGCACGGGUGAGUAACACGUAUCCAACCUGCCGUCUACUCUUGGACAGCCUUCUGAAAGGAAGAUUAAUACAAGAUGGCAUCAUGAGUCCGCAUGUUCACAUGAUUAAAGGUAUUCCGGUAGACGAUGGGGAUGCGUUCCAUUAGAUAGUAGGCGGGGUAACGGCCCACCUAGUCUUCGAUGGAUAGGGGUUCUGAGAGGAAGGUCCCCCACAUUGGAACUGAGACACGGUCCAAACUCCUACGGGAGGCAGCAGUGAGGAAUAUUGGUCAAUGGGCGAGAGCCUGAACCAGCCAAGUAGCGUGAAGGAUGACUGCCCUAUGGGUUGUAAACUUCUUUUAUAAAGGAAUAAAGUCGGGUAUGGAUACCCGUUUGCAUGUACUUUAUGAAUAAGGAUCGGCUAACUCCGUGCCAGCAGCCGCGGUAAUACGGAGGAUCCGAGCGUUAUCCGGAUUUAUUGGGUUUAAAGGGAGCGUAGAUGGAUGUUUAAGUCAGUUGUGAAAGUUUGCGGCUCAACCGUAAAAUUGCAGUUGAUACUGGAUAUCUUGAGUGCAGUUGAGGCAGGCGGAAUUCGUGGUGUAGCGGUGAAAUGCUUAGAUAUCACGAAGAACUCCGAUUGCGAAGGCAGCCUGCUAAGCUGCAACUGACAUUGAGGCUCGAAAGUGUGGGUAUCAAACAGGAUUAGAUACCCUGGUAGUCCACACGGUAAACGAUGAAUACUCGCUGUUUGCGAUAUACUGCAAGCGGCCAAGCGAAAGCGUUAAGUAUUCCACCUGGGGAGUACGCCGGCAACGGUGAAACUCAAAGGAAUUGACGGGGGCCCGCACAAGCGGAGGAACAUGUGGUUUAAUUCGAUGAUACGCGAGGAACCUUACCCGGGCUUAAAUUGCAGAUGAAUUACGGUGAAAGCCGUAAGCCGCAAGGCAUCUGUGAAGGUGCUGCAUGGUUGUCGUCAGCUCGUGCCGUGAGGUGUCGGCUUAAGUGCCAUAACGAGCGCAACCCUUGUUGUCAGUUACUAACAGGUUCCGCUGAGGACUCUGACAAGACUGCCAUCGUAAGAUGUGAGGAAGGUGGGGAUGACGUCAAAUCAGCACGGCCCUUACGUCCGGGGCUACACACGUGUUACAAUGGGGGGUACAGAGGGCCGCUACCACGCGAGUGGAUGCCAAUCCCCAAAACCUCUCUCAGUUCGGACUGGAGUCUGCAACCCGACUCCACGAAGCUGGAUUCGCUAGUAAUCGCGCAUCAGCCACGGCGCGGUGAAUACGUUCCCGGGCCUUGUACACACCGCCCGUCAAGCCAUGGGAGCCGGGGGUACCUGAAGUGCGUAACCGCGAGGAGCGCCCUAGGGUAAAACUGGUGACUGG